GCGUUAAUCGGAAUUACUGGGCGUAAAGGGCGCGUAGGCGGUUAUAUAAGUUAGAUGUGAAAUCCCCGGGCUUAACCUGGGAAUGGCAUUUAAUACUGUAUGACUAGAGUAGAGUAGAGGGGAGUGGAAUUUCCGGUGUAGCGGUGAAAUGCGUAGAUAUCGGAAAGAACACCAGUGGCGAAGGCGGCUUCCUGGACUCAUACUGACGUUGAGGCGCGAAAGCGUG
rnacentral:rRNA from 1 species